GAAAGUUGAAAAGAACUUUGAAGAGAGAGUUCAAGAGUACGUGAAACCGUUCAGGGGUAAACCUGAGAAACCCAAAAGAUCGAAUGGGGAGAUUCAUCGGCAACGGUGCUGGCUCCCGUUGGUGCGCGAUGCUCCGGAUGAAUCCUCGUGGUUCAUCGGCGAGGGCACACCACCUUCGGCUCGAAUGUUCCGGCAUCGUAGUCGUGCACUUCUCCCCUAGUAGAACGUCGCGACCCGUUGUGUGUCGGUCUACGGCCCGAGAGGGCGCCUGUCGCGUCGCUUCGCGCGCACGCGGCAGACCCUCGGUCGCCUGGCCGGCUGCACGACGGUACUCGCACGGUAUCGGGCCGCAACCAAUCCAUUUUUUCGAAUGUGUGUGCGUCAGGCCCGCCGCAAGCUCGGUCAGUUCUUACCCGGAGGCACGGACCUGGUGCCGUCCCCGGGCCUGGCCAGCUGUUAGCAGGCGGUGUCCUUGGACUGGCCAAGACUCGAAUUACCGGUCGGCGACGCUAUUGCUUUGGGUACUCUCAGGACCCGUCUUGAAACACGGACCAAGGAGUCUAACAUGUGCGCGAGUCAUUGGGAUGCAAAAACCUAAAGGCGAAAUGAAAGUGAAGAUCGGACUUUGUGCCGAUCGAGGGAGGAUGGGCCGCGUAACUUAUGCGGCCCCGCACUCCCGGGGCGUCUCGUUCUCAUUGCGAGAAGAGGCGCACCUAGAGCGUACACGUUGGGACCCGAAAGAUGGUGAACUAUGCCUGGUCAGGACGAAGUCAGGGGAAACCCUGAUGGAGGUCCGUAGCGAUUCUGACGUGCAAAUCGAUCGUCGGAACUGGGUAUAGGGGCGAAGACUAAUCGAACCAUCUAGUA
rnacentral:rRNA from 1 species